UACGUAGGUGGCAAGCGUUGUCCGGAAUUAUUGGGCGUAAAGCGCGCGCAGGCGGUCCCUUAAGUCUGAUGUGAAAGCCCACGGCUCAACCGUGGAGGGUCAUUGGAAACUGGGGGACUUGAGUACAGAAGAGGAAAGCGGAAUUCCACGUGUAGCGGUGAAAUGCGUAGAGAUGUGGAGGAACACCAGUGGCGAAGGCGGCUUUCUGGUCUGUAACUGACGCUGAGGCGCGAAAGCGUGGGGAGCGAUCCGG
rnacentral:rRNA from 1 species